rnacentral:rRNA from 1 species
CGGGGGCAACCCUGGUGGCGAGUGGCGAACGGGUGAGUAAUAUAUCGGAACGUACCCGGAAAUGGGGGAUAACGUAGCGAAAGUUACGCUAAUACCGCAUAUGCCCUAAGGGGGAAAGCGGGGGAUUCGCAAGAACCUCGCGUUUUCGGAGCGGCCGAUAUCGGAUUAGCUAGUAGGUGAGGUAAAGGCUCACCUAGGCGACGAUCCGUAGCUGGUCUGAGAGGACGACCAGCCACACUGGAACUGAGACACGGUCCAGACUCCUACGGGAGGCAGCAGUGGGGAAUUUUGGGCAAUGGGCGCAAGCCUGAUCCAGCCAUGCCGCGUGAGUGAAGAAGGCCUUCGGGUUGUAAAGCUCUUUCAGCCGGAAAGAAAACGCACGGGUUAAUAACCUGUGUGGAUGACGGUACCGGAAGAAGAAGCACCGGCUAACUACGUGCCAGCAGCCGCGGUAAUACGUAGGGUGCGAGCGUUAAUCGGAAUUACUGGGCGUAAAGCGUGCGCAGGCGGUUUUGUAAGACAGAUGUGAAAUCCCCGGGCUUAACCUGGGAACUGCAUUUGUAACUGCAAGGCUAGAGUACGGCAGAGGGGGGUAGAAUUCCACGUGUAGCAGUGAAAUGCGUAGAUAUGUGGAGGAAUACCGAUGGCGAAGGCAGCCCCCUGGGUCGAUACUGACGCUCAUGCACGAAAGCGUGGGGAGCAAACAGGAUUAGAUACCCUGGUAGUCCACGCCCUAAACGAUGUCAACUAGGUGUUGGGGGAGGAGACUUCC